UCUCAAGUCACUAGACUCUCCACGGGCCACUGGAGAAACUACUCAGGCAUGACCUUGACCAGAUUCAACCAGAACAGUGAAACUGAGUAUAUCAGAACAAAAGAAGAACCAGAGGAAGGUUUCAUCACAGACGCAACUGGAAAGGCACAGUCACAGGAACUCAUCUGAAUUCCUUUUCUACCCACAUCCACAGAGAAUUCUAUGUGUCCAGAGUUUAUGUCCAUUGCAGUCGUGGUUUUCCAUAAGUUCUCCCAAAACCUUCACGCAAAUGGUCAGAGAAGAGCUGGCAGGAUACAGCAAAAGCCUUGAAAGAGGAAAUGGAA